GGAAAACUGAGCUGACGAUGAAGAAGGAUUGGUGACAAGUCAAAGCGAUGUGUGGUUUGGAUAUUUCUACAAUUGACUUCUUUUCUGGUAGUCUAGAUAUAAUAUAAAAUGCAAAAAGGAAAGAAGUCCUUGCAGGUGUCCAGAUAGUCGCCCAGAACCACCGGUGUCUUUAAGAAAUGGUGCGAGUGGUGGGCCAAGGAAGGCUUGGUUAUCAAUCACUAAGCUGGUGAUGGCAUCAUAGGGGUGACUUUUUGCUGAGGCAAACGUCAUAAACCAUUGAAGCAGGCCCUCAGACCAUGCUGGUUUUCUUUCAUCUAGUUCCAUCUACCAGCCACAGCCGCCCGUGACGGAGGACAUCGCUGAUGACCUGGAAGGGAAAGCCUCAUUCUGGGAACAGAUGUGGCAGAGGCGAAGGAACUGAUGAAAGGAAUAGCAUCUUUAAAGGAGAGACGGUUGAAGAGUUUCAUGCUUUCAGGCUUGGCGAUGCCAGAAAUGGCGGGACUGAAAUGGAACGAUUUCACUACUUCAACAAAUUAGGAACUACGAAGUAUUUGAAGGUAUCAACAAUCGACAAAACAGAGAUUUGGAGGAUACACUCAUCAAAAGCAUUAUAUGAAGGCCAUCCGUUAUCUGCACUGAUUUUGUUCUUUUACAGUCAAUUAAGAGAAUACAGCAGGCUGUUAGCUGUCCAUCGUACGCAACAAAGACAGUGAAACCUAUGCGGAAAAGCUGUUGCUCUGGGACGGUUUCACUCCCUCCACUUUGGAAGCUCAGGUCUAGUGGUACAAGUAAUCAUCACAAAAUGGGGUUUUCCUUGGUUGCAGUGGAUGGCCAGGACUUCUUUGUGCCUUCUCUUUCCAUGAAGUAUUGCAGAACCACCUUCUUCACUGUUGGAUCUCUGUUUAUGUCAUUUGCCCAGUCCACCAGAGCCGACUUCAGAUGCUCAGACAGAGAUGGCCCUUGUAACCAGGAUAGAUAGGAGGCCCACGAGCUACCCUCACCUGGCUUAACCUGUCUGUUGAAGCAGUAUACCGGGAUGUGGUAAACGUCACAUGCAAACGGCUACUGGGAGCCGCAGGUGAGACCUGAGUGUCUGGUGGGACCCCAAAGGUGAGUGAGCCGCCCCAAAAUGGACCGAUCAAGCCCAUUCACCAGAGGAUCCCCCACCGCUCCCCUCCCCGGACACGCCAUAAAUGUGUUGUGUUCACUGGAUGAAUUCCUCCAUGGAUAACAAUUACAAAUUAACAUAGAGUUUUAUAGUACAAUAUUGUUAGUGUUCUAAUUUGUUCUGUAUUCCCUUUAAGUACACAAUUUGUUACUUAGCUAAAUGGUAGUUAGUCCUUUUUAUACCUUUUUAACUAUUUCCAAGAAGCUUCAGCUGAUUGGGGCAACCGCUAAAUUGGGCCAAAAUGUACUGGUCCUGAUGUGUCCCAAUUAGCCAGAAUCCACUAUUAUGUUAUCUGAACUUUUAAUGAUUUGGCAAGAUGUAAUAGUGCACUGAAUUAGAUGCAGAUUAGGAAUGAUAACAAGAUGAUACUUAGACGAUGCGAUUGAUCAUCUGUGUGAACUAGGUUGAUCUCAACCAGGUGGAAUCAAUUUCAAUGUCUGCCUUCAAUAGCAUGUUUAUCAGGCUAGAACUCUGAUCAGAUAAUAGACAGUGACACAAAAAUAACAAGUCUAAGAAUCAAUUGCUUGAUGAGUUAUACAGAAGUGAACCAGGCCCUAUGGCUCAACUUAUCCAUGCCAACCAAGUUCUCUACCUGAGUCAGUACCAUUUGUUUGUGUUUUUCCCAUUAUCCAUGGAUAAGAAAGGUUCAAUGCCUUUUAAACACUAUUAUCGUACCAGCUUGUACAACUUCUGGCGGAUCAUUCCACAUACCUACAACCCUCUGAAUGAAAACAUUGCCCCUUGGGUCCCCUUUAAACCUCUCCCUUCUCAGCUUAAACCCAUAACCUCUAACUUUUGACUUCCCUACCCUGGGAGAAAGACUGACAAUCCACCUUCCCCAUUUCCAUCCACUGUCUGAGACCAAGAAAUCUGAUUGUGUAACCAUUCUACUAAUGAGGUUUCCAUUUAUUUAUGUCCAUCGUGCAACAAUCAGAAAUGUGCCCCAACUUCAGUAUUUAAAGGCCUGGCUCUGAAUUUGAGAUUUCCUCCAGAUUCCUGACCAGAAGAGAAAAAUUCUAUCUUAUGUGUUCUUCUUAAUUACAUACAAAUUACUACAACUUAUAUUUCAGAAAACAAUUUAAGUUUGCCUAAUAAUACCUUGUAAUAAUUUAAUCAAAGAAAUUAAAUAUCAUCCCACUAAGUCUAUCCUACACUCCUCUAAAGACCUAUAUAUUUAAAAACAAGCUGACCAGAAUUAAUGACUUUCAAAUGUGGGUCCCACAAAACUUUAUGUAUCUCUCUGCUCUUCAGGAUAGACCAGAACUCCAUUAACCACUGACUUGCUUGUUUUUACCACAUCUGUUCAAAACUUUGUGCCCAUGGAAGUCCACAUUUCAGUGGUCCUCCUUGCAUCAAUGAGAAAAAAAACUGUUCUGCCCUUAUAUAUGGGUAUUGUCCAUGUUAAAAUCCAUUUGCUUUUGUCUCCUUCAUUCACUUAAAGUAUCAAUACCUCAAUGUGAUAAUACUCCAUCUAAACUAUCUCAAUACUAUUCCAUGGGAUACUUUUUUGUUACUUGGGUUACUUGCUGGUGUCCAAUCACAAACAAGAGAAGACCUGCAGGUGCUGGAAAUCUGAGCAAAACACACAACGCUGGAGGAAAUCAGCUGGUCAGGCAGCGUCUAUGGAAAGAGUAUAGUCGAUGUUUCGGGCCAAAACCCUUCGACAGGACUGGAGAGAAAAAGCCAAGGAGUAGAUUUAAAAGGUGAGGGGGAAGAGGAGAAAAAAAAACACAAGGUGAUAGAUGAAAUCUGCAGUGGGAAGGAUGAAGUAAAGAGCUGGGAAGUUGAUUGAUGGAAGAAUUCUGCGAUCAGGACGAGGCUUUUAAUUCUAGAAUGAAGGAAAUGUCUUAUUUUUUCAAAGAAAGGGGCUUCCCUUCCUCCACUAUCAAAGCUGCCCUCAACUGCACCUCUUCCAUUUCACGUAUGUCUGCUCUUUUCCCACCCACCCGCCACCCUACCAGGGGUCGGGUUCCUCGUUCUCACCCACCACUACACCAGCCACUGUGUCCAACAAAUAAUUCUUUGUAACUUCUGCCAUCUCAAACAGGAUCCCACCACCAAGCAUAUUUUUCCCUCCCCCCACCCCCACUUUCUGCAGGGAUCACUCCCUGUGUCCACUCCCUCAUCCAUUUGUCCCUCCUCACUAAUCUCCCUCCUAGCACUUAACUUACAAGCAGGAUAAGUGCUACACUUGCUCCUACACCUCCUCUCUCAGUACCAUUUAGGGCCUUAAACAGUCCUUCCAGGUGAGGUGACACUUCUCCUGUGAGACUGUUGAGGUCAUAAACUGUGUCCGGUGCUCCCGCUGUGGCCUCCUCUAUAUUUGUGAGACCCGACAUAGAUAGGGAGACUGCUUUGCCGAGCACCUAUGCUUUGUCUACCAGAAAAAGUGGGAUCUCCCAGUAGCCACCAAUUUUAAUUCCAUUUCCCAUUCCAAUAUGCCCAUCCAUGGCAUCCUCCACUGCCGCGAUGAGGCCAUGCUCAGGUUGGAGGAGCAACACCUUAUAUUCCACUCGGGUAGCCUCCAGCCUGAAGCCAAGAACAUUGAUUUCUCAAACUUCUGGUAAUGCCCCUCCCUUCUGUCUCUUUCAUCAAACAACCUAGUUCUUUACUUCAUCCUUCCACCCCCCACCCUCCAGGUUUCAUGUAAUCAUCUGGUGUUUCACUCUCCCCUCCCCCUACCUUUUCAAUCUAAUCCUUGGCUUUUUUUUCUCCAAUCCUGCUGAAUAAAAUGGUUGUGUUGAUUACAAUAUAACCAUGUAGCACUACUGAAAGUUUCUGUGGAUGUUACACCGCUUCCAUGUUAAAGAAAAUGCACAAGUAACAAAAGUAUAUAUGAACUCAUCCAUUUUUAAGUUCUACAAAUAUUUUCUCA